rnacentral:lncRNA from 1 species
GUUCCUGGGGAGCUCGGCUGUGAAAUCCGCUAGGCAUUGGGAUUUAAUGGCACCCCUCGGUUCGUACUUGAUGUCGAACUCUGAAAGCUCGACCGACCACCCUAUCAUUCGUCCUGCAAGAUCGGGUUUAGACAAAAUUUUGUAUAUGGGAUAGUUGGUCCUUACCCUGAUUUCGUGGUUCUGGAAGUAUGGGCGCAUUCUCCUUGCUGUCAGCACCAGGGCCAGUGCCACCUUCU